rnacentral:rRNA from 1 species
GUGUGAAAUUUCACGCCCCUAACGGGGAAGCUAAAGCCUUGAGUGUUGAAUAAUAAACUAGCGGCGGACGGGUGCGUAACGCGUGGGUAAUCUGCCCUUGUCACUGGGAUAACACAUCGAAAGGUGUGCUAAUACCGGAUAAAAUACAGACUCGGCAUCGAGAUUGUAUCAAAGUCAUGCGGACAAGGAUGAGUCUGCGUCUGAUUAGCUAGUUGGUGGGGUAAUGGCCUACCAAGGCGACGAUCAGUAGCCGACCUGAGAGGGUGAUCGGCCACACUGGAACUGAGACACGGUCCAGACUCCUACGGGAGGCAGCAGUGGGGAAUAUUGCACAAUGGGCGAAAGCCUGAUGCAGCAACGCCGCGUGAGUGAUGAAGGUUUUCGGAUCGUAAAACUCUGUUCUAAGGGAAGAUAAUGACGGUACCUUAGGAGAAAGCCCCGGCUAACUACGUGCCAGCAGCCGCGGUAAUACGUAGGGGGCAAGCGUUAUCCGGAAUUACUGGGCGUAAAGGGUGCGUAGGUGGCCUGACAAGUCAGGGGUCAAAGGCAACGGCUCAACCGUUGUAAGCCCUUGAAACUGUCGGGCUUGAGUUCAGGAGAGGAAAGCGGAAUUCCAAGUGUAGCGGUGAAAUGCGUAGAUAUUUGGAGGAACACCAGUGGCGAAGGCGGCUUUCUGGACUGAUACUGACACUGAGGCA